UUUAUAGAUGGUAGCCACUGUUGCCAAUAAUUUGGAAUAUUACCUUAAGAUUCAAAAUAUUAAAUUUGAAGUAAUAUUGUUUUAUAAAUUUUUUUAAUUUUAAGAAAACUCAAAAUGGAAAUAAUUUAAUAAUUUAUUUAGGGUACGAGUACCUCAUCUAAAUUUCAUCCAAUGGUAUUCCACAUUUGGAACCACAAGUUUCUCCCAUAGUGCCUGAUAUUCUUAAUUUGACAAUUUUCUUUAUAAUCUAGUUUCAUCCAAUGGUAUUCCACAUUUGGAACCACAAGUUUCUCCCAUAGUGCCUACACAAAUCUAGAUUCCCCUCUUGACAUAGCACAAACUUUAUUAGACUUAAAUUCAAAUAUUUAUGAAGCUCGUUUUGUCAAGAGUCAAAAGGGGAAAAUAUUACUAUUCUUUCAAAACUAUAUGUAUAGAUUUCACUCCCAAAAUGGGGAAUUUAUAAAAUAUCGAUGCAGAGUAGGAGAUUGCCAUGCUAAAUGUAUAUAUGAGGGUGCAUACACAGUCUCUGGUAUACAUGAUCAUGUAUUUGAAAUAGGGGCCUUCGAGAUGCUUAAAACUAAAGAAGCACUCGAAAACAUAAUAGCCUACAAUCCCUUGGAGACUCGGUUAAAUAUAUCAACAAACAAUGGAUAAAAGAUGUAUGGAGAACCCAGAAAUAGAAAACUAUCCUGAGGCCAUACCAUCAUUUAUAUCCCUGAGAAGUCACAUAGACAGACUUCUUAUUAAAUACAGCCCCCUAUGCCUCAAUCGAUUUCUGAGAUUGAGUUAACUGCAGAAUAUUCUACGACAACUCGUAAUGAACGAUUUUUAAUCCAUGGAACAGGCAACUUAUAUAUUUUUGGCACUGAUUCCAUGUUGCGUAUGGCCUCAAGUUCGGACAUGAUCUACAUGGAUGGAACUCUCCAUGUAGCUCCUACGUUAUUUUAUCAAUUAUAUACCUUUCAUGUUAUGUACGAAGAGGUUAUGAUACCCUUCAUUUAUGCACUACUACCAGAUAAAACUAGGGACACAUUUUUCAAAUUGUUAAUUUUUGUUCUGAAUGCCAAAUAUCUUUAAACCCUAGAUUUGGC